CCUACGGGGGGCAGCAGUGGGGAAUAUUGGACAAUGGGCGGAAGCCUGAUCCAGCCAUGCCGCGUGGAGGAUUAAGGCCCUCUGGGUUGUAAACUCCUUUUAUCUGGGAAGAACCAUUCCGACUUGUCGGAACAUGACGGUACCAGAGGAAUAAGCACCGGCUAACUCCGUGCCAGCAGCCGCGGUAAUACGGAGGGUGCAAGCGUUAUCCGGAUUUACUGGGUUUAAAGGGUGCGUAGGCGGACUUAUAAGUCAGUGGUGAAAGCUCGGAGCUUAACUCCGGAACUGCCAUUGAUACUGUUAGUCUUGAAUUUGGUAGAGGUAGGCGGAAUGUAACAUGUAGCGGUGAAAUGCAUAGAUAUGUUACAGAACACCGAUUGCGAAGGCAGCUUGCUAUGCCAAUAUUGACGCUGAGGCACGAAAGCGUGGGUAGCGAACAGGCUUAGAUACCCUGGUAGUC
rnacentral:rRNA from 1 species